AGGGAAUAUUGCAAAAUGGGCGAAAGCCCGAUGCAGCAACGCCGCGUGGGCGAUGAAGGCCUUCGGGUCGUAAAGCCCUUUUUGAGGGGAUGAGGAAGGACAGUACCCUCAGAAUAAGCCUCGGCUAACUACGUGCCAGCAGCCGCGGUAAAACGUAGGAGGCGAGCGUUUCCGGAUUUACUGGGCGUAAAGGGCGUGCAGGCGGAUUGGAGAGUUGGAUGUGAAAGCUCCCGGCUUAACUGGGAGAGGUCGUUCAAUACUUCCAGUCUUGAGUGCAGUAGAGGGAAGUGGAAUUCCGGGUGUAGUGGUGAAAUGCGUAGAUAUCCGGAGGAACACCAGUGGCGAAAGCGGCUUCCUGGACUGUAACUGACGCUCAGACGCGAAAGCUAGGGUAGCAAACG
rnacentral:rRNA from 1 species